CUGAAACCCCCUGCUGUUUUCGCGAAUGAUCUCCAUUUUAGGAAUGAGGGCGCAAAACUAUUUGUCAGCUUAGAAAGUCCCCCACAGAGAAUGAAAGAUGCAUAAGCAUUUUCGUCUCUUCUUCUCCACG
ensembl:ncRNA C25F6.19 ncRNA